rnacentral:rRNA from 1 species
UACGUAGGGUGCAAGCGUUAAUCGGAAUUACUGGGCGUAAAGCGUGCGCAGGCGGUUUUGUAAGCCUGACGUGAAAUCCCCGGGCUCAACCUGGGAAUUGCGUUGGAGACUGCAAGGCUAGAAUCUGGCAGAGGGGGGUAGAAUUCCACGUGUAGCAGUGAAAUGCGUAGAGAUGUGGAGGAACACCGAUGGCGAAGGCAGCCCCCUGGGUCAAGAUUGACGCUCAUGCACGAAAGCGUGGGGAGCAAACAGG